rnacentral:rRNA from 1 species
CAGUCGCCGCGGUAACACCGAGGGUGCAAGCGUUAAUCGGAAUUACUGGGCGUAAAGCGCGCGUAGGUGGUUUGUUAAGUUGGAUGUGAAAUCCCCGGGCUCAACCUGGGAACUGCAUCCAAAACUGGCAAGCUAGAGUAUGGUAGAGGGUGGUGGAAUUUCCUGUGUAGCGGUGAAAUGCGUAGAUAUAGGAAGGAACACCAGUGGCGAAGGCGACCACCUGGACUGAUACUGACACUGAGGUGCGAAAGCGUGGGGAGCAAACAGGAUUAGAGACCCCCGUAGUCCCUGUCUCUUAUAC